GGGCUGGGGCACAGUGGUAGUGCACUUGCCUCGCACGCAUGAGGCACUGGGUUCAAUCCUCAGCACCACA
rnacentral:tRNA from 1 species